rnacentral:rRNA from 1 species
CAGCCGCCACGGUAAUACGUAGGUGGCAAGCGUUAUCCGGAAUUAUUGGGCGUAAAGCGCGCGUAGGCGGUUUUUUAAGUCUGAUGUGAAAGCCCACGGCUCAACCGUGGAGGGUCAUUGGAAACUGGAAAACUUGAGUGCAGAAGAGGAAAGUGGAAUUCCAUGUGUAGCGGUGAAAUGCGCAGAGAUAUGGAGGAACACCAGUGGCGAAGGCGACUUUCUGGUCUGUAACUGACGCUGAUGUGCGAAAGCGUGGGGAUCAAACAGGAUUAGAUACCCCCGUAGUCCCUGUCUCUUAUAU